rnacentral:lncRNA from 1 species
CCUGGGCGCCCACGGCCACGUCCGGCAGCCUGUCCCCCGUCAGGUCCCGGCCGCCGCUCAGCGCCUGCCCGAAGUGGCGCGGCCCGCUGGGGAAGCGGGCGCCCGCGAUGCGCUGCGGGGGGGUGGGUGGGGGGGUGAGGGGACCCCGGCGUCCCGGCAGGGGGGGGUCUCCGGCACCCAAAACGUCCCCGGCACCCAAGAUGCCUCCGGCACCCAACGUGCCUCCGGCACCUGAGGUUCUCCAGCACCCAAAUUCCCUCCAGCACCCAAAUUCCCUCCAACACCCAAGGCGCCUCCAGCACCCAAGAUGUCUCCCGCACCCAAGACUUCCCCAGCACCCAAGACUUCCCCAGCACCCAAGGCUCCUCCAGCACCCAAAUAUCUCCACCACCCAAGGUUCUCCACCACCCAAGAUGCCUCCACCACCCAAGGCUUCCCCAGCACCCAAGAUGUCUCCACCACCCAAGAUGUCUCCUGCACCCAAGUUCUCCCCACCACCCAAGUUCUCCCCACCACCCAAGUUCUCCCCACCACCCAACCCACCCCCAGCACCCAAGGUUCUCCAGCACCCAAGAUGCCUCCACCACCCAAGGCUUCCCCAGCACCCAAGAUGCCUCCCGCACCCAAGUUUUCCCCACCACCCAACCCACCCCCAGCACCCAACCCACCCCCAGCACCCAAGGCUUCCCCGCACCCAAGAUGUCUCCCGCACCCAAGUUCUCCCCAGCACCCAAGAUGCCUCCACCACCCAAGGCUUCCCCAGCACCCAAGAUGUCUCCCGCACCCAAGUUCUCCCCACCACCCAAAUUCUCCCCAGCACCCAAGUUCUCCCCAGCACCCAAGUUCUCCCCAGCACCCAACCCACCCCCAGCACCCAAGGGCCCCCCCUGGGCCCCCACCUGGCUGUAGUGCGCGGCGACGCCGCCCUCCUCCCCCCGGAAGACGUAGACGGCCCCGCGGUGCUCGUCCUCCAUGGGGGCGCCCACGGCCACGUCGUGCCAGCCGUCGCCGUCCACGUCCCCCAGGCGGCUGAGGCUGGCCCCGAAGCGCCCCAGGGGGUGGCCGGGCUGGCCCUGCAGCGUGCGCAGGCAGCGCAGCACCCCG